GACUGACGACAGUGACGACGCGUGUCACGGGGGAGGGGUGCGGUGAAAAGCGAGUAGAAGUAGCUGAGAGUAUGGAGAGUAGAGAUUUAAACUGUAACCACGGAGCCUAGAUACCAGGAGAUCGAUCGACAUAGGAAAAUAACUAGCAAACGUAACUGGAAAAAAAGAAAAGAUCAUUUUCGGAAAUACACCGCUAGGUUUCGUUAUGUUCGCUAAUGUCAAGUUUAUAACGUCAUUUUUUUCAUUGACAAUUGUUGACAAUACUGCAUCAUUGACAAUUGUAUAUUAAUGUUUUUUUAAUUUAUAAAAAGUAAUAUUUAUUUAUAAAUGGUAAAUAAGUGUAUUGUUCAUGGGUGUACAAGUGGACGAGUCAAGGGUCUUAAUAAGAAUGCUAAAUUAAAUCAGAGAAAUAUGUCUUUAUUCACUGUACCACAGGUAACAUAACCUUAACUGAUAGUUAUUAAUUACUAAUAUAAAAAAAUGCAAUGAUGCAAAUGUUUUUUAACUCUACUUAUGCUAUAAAAAUUUGUAGUCUUGUAAAAAGUGUAGUUUACGAUAAUAAAUUACAGUUUACUUUUAA